rnacentral:misc_RNA from 1 species
AAAGUCGUAACAAGGUUUCCGUAGGUGAACCUGCGGAAGGAUCAUUACCGAAUGACCUGGGUCGACCCAUUCCUGUAGGUAGACCAUUCAGCAGCCCGCCGACAGAAUUUGAUGCCAAUCUAAUGACUCAUCAUCAGAUGGUGAUGUUCUCAUCACUUUGGGGUUGUUGGGUUCGAUGUUGGAUGGCACGGGGGCUGCCAGGGUUUUGGUCUCCCAUGUAUUUUUUUUUUCUUCACCCCAUGAAACCUGUCGUCGCCUGAUGUUGCGCUUCAAACAUAUAUAUAAUAUAACUUUCAACAACGGAUCUCUUGGCUCUC